GGUUACUGCGCUUUUAAAAACAAGAAGGAAAUAAAGUGCACAUGCUGGAGGUGUGGUUUGUGCUCUCGCAUUCGUGCUGCUGGUGUUUCCACGACUGCAUGCUCCGAUUCUGCAAAGAGGCUCAAAGGCUGAUCGUGCUGAGAGCCCCUGAGAGACCCAACUCUAUGGGAACUGAGACCACUUGACUGYGUUCAGCACCCUUCAGGAUCUGGUCCUAGGAAAUGUUCAAAGGCGCCAAGGGAAAAUCGCCUGAGAUUUGAAGCGAAGACA
rnacentral:lncRNA from 1 species